UUAAUCCAACAACACAACCUGAGAUGAUUCUGUUCUGCUGUUUGCUGUGUCUGUCCCUUACCAUGGGAACCAUGUCAGAAAUCCUUCUCACUCAAUCCAACCCAGAAAUUAAGAAGCCUGGCGAAAGUGUGAAAAUAACCUGUAAAACAUCAGGGUUCACUUUCACUGAUUAUUACAUGACUUGGAUUCGACAAGCCCCACGAGGAGGAUUACAGUGGAUAGGCGGAAUUGAUCCUGAUGAUGGGGAAACUAACUAUUUAUCUUCAUUGGAAGAAAGAUUAACAGUGACUACAGAUAAUUCAAUUAGUACAGUGUACUUAGAGAUCAGCCGUUUGAUGCUGGAAGACACAGCCACAUAUUAUUGUGCUAGACACACAGUGGAAAAAGUCAGGGAACCUCCCAUACAAAAAUAACUAACUGCAAUGACAGCUUAAUAACACAGGAGAGCAGUAAUGUUUGUAAAACAAAUCUGCUGGUAAUAACAUUUCUGAAUCAAAUGCAAUUACUGUAUGAGGGAGGAUAUCAUAAACUACUGUAAUUUAGAAGGCUAUCAAAGCUUUGUAAGGCUGUUAGACAUUACUUUGCGACAAUAUAAAAACAGAAUGCUACAGAUGACUCCUAACAGUCUUACAAAUGUUAGCAUUCACUACAUUAUCAUUUAUAGUCUUAAUUUACAGUAUAACUUGUAGCAAAAAAUCCUGUCCUCCUUACACAACUCUUAGAAUAAAAUAUCCAAGCCCUAAUGUCCUGCAGGUUGGAGCAAAAAUUAUUCUACACAGGGCUGCAUUAAGGCUUUAGAGAUCUUAAAGCAGGUGUGGGCUCUGUAGCCCUCACUCUCAGCUAGGAAAGCCAGGAGUGAAAGAUUAACUUGCAUAAAUAAAAUUGUUUCAGAAAAAGGACUUUUGAGUAGU